rnacentral:RNase_P_RNA from 1 species
GUAGCUCGAAAGCCGCGUUUGCUCGCCACGCACUCGCCGAUUCUCUCGGCUUUUCGCGAGCGGGCUAAGGUCUGAACGUUCCAGUCCCCUUGCAGUAUUGCACUCGUGUCUAGCCGGCACCGGCCGUAACAGGUUGAGCAGGGUAUCAGACAUGCGCUGGCUGUAGCUUGUAUCGCCCAGAGAUCCGCAAGGGGAGGGCAUAGCGCAGGUCGAGCUUGGAACCACUCUGCGGGGAUCGAGCCAUUUCGUAACUUCUAGUCCCAGCCUCUUUCACGCCUAACGCGCGAGCAUCGCGAGCGAGUGCCCAACUUUCAUCGGGGAGUUGAGAUCCCACAUUGUGUCCCUAUCUAAGUUGGAAAGGGGUCGGUGCUUGGGUGCUGAUUGUGGGAGACGUACGAAGAAAGAGCGCCAAGGGAUAGUGGUUGGGACAACCGUGGCAAAUCUGCGGUAGUCUAAAAUGGCCCUACCCUAGCUCUUUCUUUCUCCCCCGGACGAUUCAGCGUCGCCGGAUUAGCUAUGGUGAUUGAGGAGGUAUGGCUUGGAUGGAGAUGCGCUCUUGAGUUCACUUUGCGGCUCGCACUUGUCUGCUUAUAGUGGACUUGUGUGAAACUCGAUUCAGACUGCUCUUGGGCUGC